AGGUUACUUCGGUAACUGACCUAGCGGCGGACGGGUGAGUAAUGCUUAGGAAUCUGCCUAUUAGUGGGGGACAACAUUCCGAAAGGAAUGCUAAUACCGCAUACGUCCUACGGGGGAAAGCAGGGGAUCUUCGGACCUUGCGCUAAUAGAUGAGCCUAAGUCGGAUUAGCUAGUUGGUGGGGUAAAGGCCUACCAAGGCGACGAUCUGUAGCGGGUCUGAGAGGAUGAUCCGCCACACUGGGACUGAGACACGGCCCAGACUCCUACGGGAGGCAGCAGUGGGGAAUAUUGGACAAUGGGCGCAAGCCUGAUCCAGCCAUGCCGCGUGUGUGAAGAAGGCCCUUUGGUUGUAAAGCACUUUAAGCGAGGAGGAGGCUCCUUUAGUUAAUACCUAAAGAGAGUGGACGUUACUCGCAGAAUAAGCACCGGCUAACUCUGUGCCAGCAGCCGCGGUAAUACAGAGGGUGCGAGCGUUAAUCGGAUUUACUGGGCGUAAAGCGUGCGUAGGCGGCUUUUUAAGUCGGAUGUGAAAUCCCUGAGCUUAACUUAGGAAUUGCAUUCGAUACUGGAAAGCUAGAGUAUGGGAGAGGAUGGUAGAAUUCCAGGUGUAGCGGUGAAAUGCGUAGAGAUCUGGAGGAAUACCGAUGGCGAAGGCAGCCAUCUGGCCUAAUACUGACGCUGAGGUACGAAAGCAUGGGGAGCAAACAGGAUUAGAUACCCUGGUAGUCCAUGCCGUAAACGAUGUCUACUAGCCGUUGGGGCCUUUGAGGCUUUAGUGGCGCAGCU
rnacentral:rRNA from 1 species